rnacentral:lncRNA from 1 species
CUGACAAUGAAUGGAAUAUUUCUUUAAAUAAAACUAAAUUUCUUGAGUUUGCAUCGGGGUGUGAAGCAGUAUGGGCGAUAUGAGACAGUUUUUGUUUUUGUUUUUUCAGACAAGACUGCUCACUCCUGCAGAAAAUGACCUUGUUCUUGAGAGCUGCUGCUAAUUUACAGUGAGGCACUAGGUUUCUACCCAGUGCCACGUGAGCAACCAAUCCAUCUACCCAGGGGCACGGCACUGACGAGCAGCAUCAUUUAGAAGGAAAGAAGUAUGGGUGGUGUUUGUUGUUUCCUGUGUGUUAAGGAAAAUCCAGUGAAAGUGACUGUGACCCUCCAACCUAGACUGUCUACUAGCUUUGACAAUGACCCCUGUCCUGCUAUUGGCUAGCUCCAUGUUUUGUUCACGUGACUCUCAACCUGGUGUGGCCUGGACUCUAGUCCCUGCCUCAAGGAAAGUCCAGACUGACAUAGAAAAUCCCUGCUCACCAGCCUUGACCUUGGGAGAAAGCCCCUGACCUGUGAGUGGACAGAAGGCCUGGUGGUCAGCCCGUGGGAGCCCUGGAGCGUGCACUGCUGGAGCAGCUCAGAAAAAGCUGAGAAGCCAAGACUUGACUGUCAGUCCUGGAGAAUUAGAACAUGCCUGCUAAAUUUCAGUCCACUCUGAGGAAGGGGCAGUGCCCACAAGGAAACCUAGUGGGUGGGGUUCUGGCUGGGACUCAUCUGGAGUUCCCAGGGCAGAUGCCCGGCCCCAGCUUAUAGACCAUGAUGCGGCUGGGCUUCCGUGUCUGAUUCUUAAGUGCCUCAGGUAAACAGACUCUCCUUUGCUUUGCCAGGAGGAAUGACAUUACUAUCAGCAUUGUAAAAGUCUGUGGCCUUUGGGAGAGUAAUUUUACUUCUAAGACUCUCCUCUACAGAGAAGUGUGCACACUGUUCCCAGUGGAGUCUAUAAAGAUAGCAAAGAGCAAAGACUUAAAACAGAAUGGCUCUGGGUUUGAAGUGUUGUGUAUCUAGACAAUGAACAGCCCACCUUUAAACAAGCCCCACAUGGACUGAAGCGGAGGCAGCUCCAAAUGUAUUAGGUGACAGUGCCACAUGGCUCUGUGUGAUGGUAAGAUUAUAUGUGUACAUGUCAUCUCGAAAGGAGAAUUCGGCUUAUCUCUGGGGAGAGAGUCUGCAUCUUUUCUCAUUUGUACCGAGUAUGGAGUGUGUAUCUAUCUCUCUGUCAGAAAUGUCAAGGGAAGGGUUCACCAUUGACCUGAUGCUCACGAAGGUUAGGAACCAAUGCCAACCACAAUGCCCACCUCUACCUUCAGGAGACAGUAAACGCCUUAGAAUACAAAACCCAUAAACAACCAAGACUGUGGUGCCUGCUGGGGCUGGGCCUGAGCUGCACACAGAGGCUAGGUACCGAACAGCUGCCAUGGUAAACUGGCACAGUUAGGCACGCGGCCGGGUUCACACGCCCUCUGCCCUGACUUUAAAGACAGCAGUCUUGGCCCAGCUUCCCUCACCCCCUAUGUAUGAGCAGAGAGCUAUACUUGCUGGGUUUCCAGCUCUUGUAUUUGGACUCCUCUUCUCUUUUCUCUUUUUUGAGAGAGGGUCUCACUGUGUAUUCGUGGCUGCUCUGGAACUUCCUGGACCAGGCUGGCCUUGAUGUAGA